rnacentral:rRNA from 1 species
GAUGAACGCUGGCGGCGUGCUUAAUACAUGCAAGUCGAGCGAACAGACUAGGCUCUUGCUCCUUGGACGUUAGCGGCGGACGGGUGAAUAACGCGUGGAUAACCCACCCAUCGUACGGGUAUAGCUUCGAAAAGCCGGAUCUAAUACCGUAUAAUAUAUUCAACCGCUGGGUUCAGUAGGUAAGGGCGGUUUUGCUGUCACUUGUAGAUGCAUCCUGUCCGCUUUAGCUAGUUGGUAAGGUAACGGCUUACCAAGGCAACGAUGCGUAGCCGACCUGAGAGGGUGAUCGGCCACACGGGAACUGAGACACGGUCAAGACUCCUACGGGCGGACGCAGUAGGGAAUUUUCCGAAAUGGGCGAAAGCCUGAAGGAGCAACGCAGCGUGGGUGAUGAAGGGCUUCGGAUCGUAAAACUCUGUUAUUCGGGAAGAAAAAAUGUGGCAGUAACUAUGCACGUGUUGACGGUAGCUAAUCAGAAAGCCCCGGCUAACUACGUG